rnacentral:rRNA from 1 species
UACAGAGGUCCCGAGCGUUGUUCGGAUUCACUGGGCGUAAAGGGUGCGUAGGUGGCGUGGUAAGUUUGAUGUGAAAGCUCAGGGCUUAACCCUGAAAUGGCAUUGAAUACUACUGUGCUGGAGGUUUGGAGGGGGGACUGGAAUUCUUGGUGUAGCAGUGAAAUGCGUAGAUAUCAAGAGGAACACCAGUGGCGAAGGCGAGUCCCUGGACAACACCUGACACUAAGGCACGAAAGCUAGGGGAGCAAACAGG